GAAUGUGAGGGUGAUCUGUAUGUGACAUCUGUCACCUCAUUGAUUGCCAGGGUUGAUUCAAGUCAUCUGGUUGGCAAGGCGGGUGUCCCGUUCCUCUCUCACUGCCCCAUGUGUGUCCCUCCUGAAGUGCACACUUGGCCAAAGAGGAGGACCACCCCUGAUAGAGGAGGACCACUCCCCUGCUAG
rnacentral:snRNA from 1 species